rnacentral:rRNA from 1 species
AUGAAGGCAGCUACAGUCCUUGUGUUCAUCCUACUGGUCAUUACGGCCUCUGCUGCAGCAGCUCCGGCGAGGAAGUUGGCAGGAGAUGAUGGGCAGCAGACGGGCAAAAUGGUGACGCAGACGGAGGUAAACGUACUUAAUGGGAAGCAAUCUGAUGGCUACGGUGAACAUCAGUGCUCAAUGAAGAAGUUCCCUGCUUGCAAACAAGGUCCGUAA